GUGCAUGUAUAAAUAGGGAUGUGAGUACAUUUGCACUCACAAUCCGUGAGUGCAAAUGAGAUUCAUGGGCAUGGAUGUAGGGGAGCCAUGCGCGCAAGUUAAACAGCUGUGCAUUAUUUUUGCAAGUGCUCACACAGAAAACCAUACUUUGACCAUGUGCAGAAUCUGAAGGAGCAUGUGACUAUUAUCCCCAAGCACACAGCUACUAUCAUUGCUCUCCUUCUCGCAAAACUUUCACCUGCUUGCUCACGAACGUUUUUUCUUUUUAGCAGGAAGUGGGCGGAGCCAGUCACCACUGUAUCCCUAAAUAAGAUUGGUUACAGUCUUCAUCUUUUAUUAUUGGCUGUUGUCUUUGUAUCAGUGCAAGUAAACAAGAAAGGACAAAGAAACAAUGUACCCUGUCACUACACGAUCUGAGUCAACUGUGGAUGUGAGUUGCACAUGUGUGAGUUGGUCCGCCAUCUUGGACAGCUAGUGGGAGUCCGAGCCUCUGUGUGCUGUAAAUGUCACCCGUCAUCAGGCGUUUGUGCAGCGUAUGCCCUUGUACGAAGGGGAAAGUGCAGAUGUUGCAGAUCCCAGCCUUUGAUUUAGACACGAAAGGCAGGCCGGCAGCAUACGCACUGAGGCAUGAAGAGGAUCCCAUACAGUGUAAAUCUGCAGUGUUGGUCUGCAUCAGCACAGAUGUCGUUCUAUGGCAGCUUCAGUCAGGCAGUUCAUGAGUACCACAAGGGCAACAGCUUCAGUGAUAUGUGUUCUCCACAGAUAUGAUUUCAACUGAACAACAUGCCCCAUCAAAGACCACUGAUCUGAAGGCGAGUGGAUUUACAUUAGGUCAUUACCGGUCUGUAUUCUCACAUGUAUCCACACAUCAUUAGAAAAAUAUAGUAAGAUGAAUAAGUUAUACUGAUAGCAAUGCUGAAAACUAUACUUCAGAAUCACCUUUGGAGUUAGUCAGCAAGCUUACUGGUAAUAGAGUAAGCAUAAUUGUUAAAGAUCCCAUCCAGACAUGUAUAAAGACAUAUACAAAUACUCUGCUCAGAACAAUAAUGUGUGUCUGACAUGGUUUCCCCCCCCAAAAAAGUAGAAUUACCACUGUAAAAUCCUUAAAAUGACAUCUACUCCUUCUCCCUCAUUAAAAAUUCCAGAAUCUAUAAAUAUGCAAAUAUGUAUAUUUCAUUAUAGAAGUUGGUAACACUUUACAGUAAAGGUACAUUAAUUAACAUUACUUAAUGCAGUAAUAAGCAUUAACUAAAAGUUAAUUAACAGUAAACUGAUGUGUCUAGUAAUCAUUUACUAAUGGUGUUCAUGUUAACCAAGG